GGUGCGAAAUCUCUUCGAGUUGCGGUGUCUACCAUCAGGUAAGAUCAGGAUACCGGAACCGGAAAGCCGCCAGGCUUCGAGGGUGUAGGGUGGAAACGCCGACACCUCCCGCCAGGAAAGGAGAGUUGAGCCAUGCCAA
rnacentral:ncRNA from 2 species